ensembl:snRNA U6 spliceosomal RNA
UUGCUCAUUUUGGCAGCACAUAUGCUAAAAUUGGAAUGAUACAAAGAAGAUUAGCAUGGCCCCUUCGUAAGGAUGACACACAAAUUUGUGAAGCGUUCCAUAUUUUU